ensembl:lncRNA
AUGAACUCUUUGUCAAAUAAAUGAAUGAAUGAAUGGAAGGAUCCUGAGUUCAACUUUGAAAAGUGUUGAAGAUUUGAGUCCAGGAAUUAAAGUUGAUAGGUGUCUUGAAGGUGCCAUCCUGGAGCACAGCUUCCCACAAAGUGAAGGGACUUCUGCUGGCAAUGAGGGGAAAUUUGGACGCAGAGACAGACAUACGUAGAGAGAAGAUGCAUAGACGUGGAGAUGUGGAGAGACUGCACAGAGGGAAGAGACGUCCAUCUACAAGCCAAGGAGAGGUGCAUGGAACGGAUCCUUCCCCCACAGCUCUCACAAGGAACCCACCCUGCUGACUGACACCUUGAUUUCGAACUGGCCUCCAGAAUUGUGAGGCAAUCAAUUUUUGGUGUUUAAGCCGCCCAGGCUGUGGUACUUUGUUAUGGCAGCUGUAGCACGGUAACACAAGCCAGAAACCUGAGCGUAUGUAUUCACUUCCAGAAACUUGUGCUCUCUCCUGGGAAGCUGAGCUUCUCCAUCACAAACCUUAGAUGAGAAGGUGGGCCCUUCUCGGCCCCUUCUUGUUUGUGAUGGAGGUUUAGUAUCAAAGAUCCCACCUCUCUUGGCUGCACCUACAGCACCAAGAGGAAAACGUGAAAAUGCAUCAGGCCCACCCGGGGGUGGGAAGGUGGAAGAAGGUCAGUGAAGAGUGACCUAUUACAAUGUCGACUUUCUGAGAAGAGGAAUUAAAGCUAUGGCUAAGGCACAGAAGACAGCUGGAACAUGCUUGUAGUGAGCUGAUGAAUACUGAAUGUCUACUUUGGGGAUUGGUCAAGUCUUGGAGUGAAUACCACCUGGGAUGGAGGCAGAAGGUUGAAACAGGAUGUCCAAACACAGUUAUGGUCUCUCUUCCCUGCUGACAUUGAAGGCAGCUCUUCUGCAUUUUGGGUUCUUUCUGCCCAGCAUGGUAGUCAGCCAACAGAGAGUGCUCCCACUUAACUGGAGAGGUAAAGGAGACUCAGCUCACGGCUCAGCCUUACCCUUGUUUAAUCCAACCUCAAAUAGUCAAGAUUUGACCCUUUUUAGGCCAUAGAAUUGACAGGAGCUGAUGACUGGUUAGAUAUAGGAAUAAAGGAGAGUCAACGAUGGUUAUGGCCAGCCCUGGUGAUCUAGCGGUUAAGAUUCCGUACUCUCACCACCGUGGCCUGGUUUUGUUUCCUGGCCAAGGAACUACACCAUGCAUCUGUUGGUUGUCAUACUACGGUGGCUACAUGCUGCUAUGAUGCUGAAAACUAUGUCACUGGCAUUUCAAACACCAGCAGUGUCACCAUGGUGGACAGGUUUCGGUGGAGUUUCCAGAUGAAGACAGACUAGGAAGAAGGAUCUGGCCACCCACUUCUGAAAAAAUUGGCCAUGAAAACUCUAUGAUUAGCAGUGGAACAUUGUCUGAUGUAGCACCAAAAGGUGAGAGGAUGGUGCAAAAAGACCAGAUGGGAUUCAGCUCUUCUGUACACAGGGUCUCUAGGAGUUGGAAUUGACUCAAUGGCACUAACGACAACAAAAAGAAGAUUAUGAGAGUUCAAUCCCAAACGAAUGGGUAUAUUAUGGUGACAUUAACUGAGAGAACGUAGAAAAGGAAACAGAUUAUUUUUUUGGUGGAAUCUGUGGGGAAGGGAUGUAUUUAAAUUUUUUAAAUGCAAGAUGGAAGACGUACAAUUGGAAACUGAAAAUUUUGUGUUGGAACCCUGUAGAGAGUUCUGUCAGAAACACCAUCACAUGAGUGAGGGUUGACUCUAUGAAAAAUGAACUUUCCACUAGAAAAGCUGUGAAGAAAGUUAGUGAAUAGCAGUAUGUGGUUAUGGGUAGAAGAAAGAGUGGUCAGAAAGACUUAUCCAAAAAGCCAGGAGAUGAUGCAAUUUCAGAAGGACAGUGUGCUUUCCAGCAUUAAAUGCUGCACAGGGAAUGACAGGACAAUGCUGAGAAGAAGCCAUCGGAUCUGUUGACAAAACAUGAUUGGUGCCAUUUGGAGCACAGUUCCAGGGGCAGAGCCAGAGUGGCAGUGUGGUAUGUGUCUCUCCAAUUUUUUCAUUGUGGCUAUAGAACUAAAAUUUGUUAUACAUGGUGAUGGUGAUAAAAUGCUCAUUUUUUUCCAUUGAAGGAAUUUUUCUUGUGGUUGUUUUUGAGCUGGGCUUUUGGUCUUAUCAUCCUUAGGUUGUUCAUAUCAAUGAAAAAUUAGAAUGUCCUAAAUGUCCAACCACUGGUGGAUUGCUUAAUUAGAUAUGGUCAAUAUUGAAGUAUUAUAUGGUCAGUGCUAUAAUAUUUUCAUGUUUUGCAGAAAGAUAAUAAUAUAUGGAUACAUAGAAAUGGCCAAUCAUUUGUUCAAAUGUAUCCUGCAGCAUCAACCACGUCCCAUCACUGGGAGCCUUGCAGGGUAGAAAAAGCAUAUCCUUCUUUUCUACAACUAUAGUGUUAGAAAAGGGAAAGAUUGGAUCUCCUUAUUUUCCUCAGCCAGAGAUGGAAAGUUCAGUCAUCAAGGUGUGGGAGAUUUCCAGGUGGCUUUGACAAAUGAUUAGAAGGGCUUACAGAAGCUGGACCUGGUUUGUACUGUAAGAAAUGAGCAAGAUUUCUCAUAUGGGCCUGAUGAAAUUCUGUGUGCACACAAGAGGGAAGAUUAGCCCACAGAGAUGCUCUCACCUUUAAGACGGUCAAAUAUUCGAGCUUGAUAACAAAACUUCCAGCCAUCAUACAUCCCUCCAAUGAACUGGCAAUAUUAUAAAAGUCUAAUAACCAUAAAAAACUUAACGAUUCAUCUGUUCUGAGUAGAACACACAGGAGCCUUGUUGGAUUAUAAUGUGCACUUAUUAGAUUUUGAAACCAUUUCAACUAUUCACCAAUUAAUGGCAUUUAAAGGAUAUAUUUACAAAGAUAAUCAGAUUCACAAAUAAGAUUUUUCACUUAGUAGUAAAUUUCAGUGAAAUUCACUUGCUGGUUUCAAAACAUGUUUCUUAGACAUUCUGGUACUAUCGGAUUCUCUAGGAAUAUAAUCGUAUAUUUGAAUCACUGACAAUUAAAUGGGAAGGAGUAUUAGAAACUAUCUAGUAACCCAUUUUUUAGAGGAAAUUGAUGUUCCUAGAGGCAGGAGGUCACAUAACCUGUGGCCAAAAUUCAGCUCUCUUUACUCUCAGUCUAGUGCUCUUCCCAAAGCACAAUAAUGCUUCUUAAAUAGACACAACUGAAUGAUCAUAUAUACCUUAGAGCAUUUUCAGGGUAUUUGAAUAUAGAACCUGCACAAAUGCAUAACGUGGCUCUAGGUAAUUUGGACUUGCUAGACAUUACAAAGUGCUAUUUUUUAAAUCUUCUUUUGGGGACAAAGUAACAUAUAUUCACAGACAAAUAAAUUACUGUGAAAUAACUUAAGGUUAUGUGUUUCUCUAUUCAGAAAGAAGGUGUAUGCCCUGGGGAAAUGAAAGAGACUCACAGCCCCUCUGCAAACCUGCAUCUCGGUAGCCUCUGUGGCUUCCCCACCUCACAGCGAGUUCGUUUCUUCUCCUCCACACCAGGGACAAUCAGUCCACUCUCCCUGUGGGCAGAUAUCUCAUCCCCGUGGGCAGUGUCGUGAAGAGCCUCUAGGCUGACGGAUGCAUUUGGGAACUCAUUCUAAAAUGAAGACGUGAUGGAGUUGAUGGGGAACACAUAGAACCGGGACAAGUCUCUGACUCAAGAAAUCAGUCUGCUGGGAAGGAUUCAUAGCAAUUGUGACUUUUUAAAAGCUGAGCUUGAAUAAUAAUUAUAAAAAGUUAUUGACAUAAUAAAAGAACAAAAGGACUUAUGUGAUGAGCAAUAGUUCCUGGCCUGCCCCUGCCCCUCACCCCCAGUUCUGCCCCUCCUCAUUCCCAAGGGCUUUACCUUUAACUGUUUCUGUUUUUGGUUACCUCUGGUGGUCAAGCCCAUGUUUCUAAAUAAAUACAGCACGCCGCCGUCAGUUCCUAUCGCCCCUUGCCCACCCCUCUUGCCCCUCCCAGUACAGCUGUAUCACUGCUUUUCCCUCUAAUGCUACUAUGGAAACUUCCUCUCUAGAUGAAUGAAAAUAAAAC